AAACACUGGCAGUCUUAACAAA
rnacentral:miRNA from 1 species